rnacentral:rRNA from 1 species
AUUGAACGCUGGCGGCAGGCUUAACACAUGCAAGUCGAGCGAGCGGCGGACGGGUGAGUUAUGCCUGGGAAACUGCCUGAUGGAGGGGGAUAACUACUGGAAACGGUAGCUAAUACCGCUUACCAUCUGAUGAGCGCCGCUGGGAUUAGCUAGUAGGUGGGGUAAUGGCUCACCUAGGGGACGAUCCCGAGCUGGGCUGAGAGGAUGGCCAGCCACCCUAGAACUGAGCCACGGUCCAGGCUCCGACGGGAAGCAGCAGUGGUGAAUAUUGCACAAUGGGCGCAAGCCUGAUGCAGACAUGCCGCGUGUGUGAAGGAGGCCUUCGGGUUGUAAAGCACUUUCAGCGAGGUGGCGUUACUCGCAGAAGAAGCACCGGCUAACUCCGUGCCAGCCGCCGCGGUAAUUC